CAUAUUACAAAUAAGUUCACACAACCUAGUACACAUAUCUUCACAUUUAAGUCCACAAAAGUUUACCACAGGAUGAUAAUUUAAGUCCACCAUAGCACCAAACAUCAUUUUACAUAACCAAGUCCACCACACGACAGUAAGCUCAUAGAAGCAUCAACACAACUAAAAUAAGUAGAUGGAGUUCAUCACAGUGCAUAAGAUAAUAAAGGAGACUAAGACAGCUUAUAUCAACACCUGACAAUCAAACAAAACCAAGUUUCAGAUUAUAUCAACAUCAAAUUUCUUAUUCUCCAAAUCAGAUACAACUGAAUAAUAAUUCAGGAUCAAUUAUUUUUCUGACCUGCCCGAGGGUGAUGGGGAGGAGCACAGCAACCUGAUAGGAUAGUACCAUAUGUUAGAUUAUUUUUUUAUGCGCUAGAGAAACAACAAGAAACAAUCGACAGAUACGAUAUUAGUUUUUGAAUGAAAGGGCUAAUUUGCAACACUAAUCCGAUGUCCCCAUAAUAUAUUGCACUAACAGAACUCAAUGUCACCAUCCCCAACCCACCUCAUUUCACUGGCCAAACAAACAAGCAACUGAACUAGAAUGCAUAGGAGUGUAGCACUAAAAAUUAGACACUAAAGUUAUGAUAAAAAAAAACUAGAAUAUUAGGGAAGGACCUAAUAUCAAAUAAUUAGGAGGGGUGAGGCUUUGAACCCAGGUCGUCUAGCCUACCACCUUGUGGAGCUAGCCGGAAGACCCCUGGACAUUUCUCGACACUAAAGUUAUGAUACAAGUAACUUCCUAUGCAUGCUUCAUUUCUACAGACUAUAGGCAUAUAGCAUUUAGAUAUACAGAUUUGUAUGCAGGACCGUAAAGUGUGGUGUAAAGUUAUGGACACAAUUUAAACAUGCUUCAUUUCUACAAAGUACAGGCAUACAACAACAGUUCCACGACAAUAUGGAGUGCAAAUGCCAGGCAGGAACCCAAAACACAUCAAAAGAGCAUUUUCCCACUUCCAAAAUUUAACAAUGUGGCAGCAACAUCACUAAGUAGAUCAGUUGGACACUAUGGUUCAAGUGACCAUUCUUACCAUUUGCUAAUAGGAAG
rnacentral:lncRNA from 1 species